CGAGAAAGUAUCUUCGGAUAUGAGUAGAGCGGCGGACGGGUGAGUAACGCGUAGGAAUCUACCUAGUAGAAGGGGAUAGCCCGGGGAAACUCGGAUUAAUACCGUAUACCUCCUUAGGGAGAAAGAGGGCCUCUCUUGAAGCUCUCGCUAUUAGAUGAGCCUGCGUAAGAUUAGCUUGUUGGUGAGGUAAUGGCUUACCAAGGCUACGAUCUUUAGCUGGUCUGAGAGGACGAUCAGCCACAUUGGGACUGAAACACGGCCCAGACUCCUACGGGAGGCAGCAGUGGGGAAUAUUGGACAAUGGGCGCAAGCCUGAUCCAGCCAUACCGCGUGUGUGAAGAAGGCCUUCGGG
rnacentral:rRNA from 1 species